rnacentral:rRNA from 1 species
UCGAGGAUCUUCGGCAAUGGGCGAAAGCCUGACCGAGCGACGCCGCGUGUGCGAUGAAGGCCUUCGGGUUGUAAAGCACUGUCGUGGGGGAGAAAGGGAAACUUGAUCGACCCCAGGAGGAAGCUCGGGCUAAGUUCGUGCCAGCAGCCGCGGUAAGACGAACCGAGCGAACGUUGUUCGGAAUCACUGGGCUUAAAGGGCGCGUAGGCGGGCGGUCAAGUCAAGGGUGAAAGCCCCCAGCUCAACUGGG